GACAGAGGUCUCGAGCGUUAGGCGGAAUCACUGGGCUUAAAGCGUGUGUAGGCGGACUUGUAAGUACCUUGUGAAAUCCCACGGCUCAACCGUGGAACUGCUCGGUAUACUGGUCGUCUUGAGCCACUUAGGGGCAGUCGGAACAGACGGUGGAGCGGUGAAAUGCGUAGAUAUCGUCUGGAACGCCGAAGGUGAAAACAGCUCGCUGGGGCUGCGCUGACGCUGAGACACGAAAGCCAGGGGAGCGAACGGG
rnacentral:rRNA from 1 species